rnacentral:rRNA from 1 species
GACUCUAAAUGAAACGCUGUUACAGCCCUCGAUCCUAGAAGGGCGACGUCACAUAAGUGCUGGGACCCUUUAGGUGAUAAAGAGCACCAGCAGCCAGGACAGUUCUUGGUUCACAGAUUAGGUGGUGACGGUCAAGUCGACUGAGGGUCUUGAUUAAGAUAUAAUCGGUCUAUUGCUUCGAGGCAAUAAGAGUCAACGUUCCGUAGGUGAACCUGCGGAAGGAUCAUUACCGAGCUCGGGGUCCUCUGGGCCCCCUCUCCAACCCAGUGUCUACCUUGCCAUGUUGCUUUUGGCGGGCCCGUCCAGACAUCUGGACCGCCGGGGGGUUUCCCUCCGGGCAUCCCCCGGGCCCGUGCCCGCCAGCAGUCACUGCAAACUCGUACCAACAGUGAUGUCCCAGUGGCAGAACUAAUUAGUUAAAACUUUCAACAACGGAUCUCUUGGUUCUGGCAUCGAUGAAGAACGCAGCGAAAUGCGAUAAGUAAUGCGAAUUGCAGAAUUCCGUGAGUCAUCGAAUCUUUGAACGCACAUUGCGCCCUUUGGCACUCCGAAGGGCAUGCCUGUCCGAGCGUCAUCUUCCACCGUCAAGCUUGGCUUGCUGUUGGGUCCCGUCACCGGCGACGGCGGCGGACCCGAAAGACAAUGGCGGUGCCCGUGAGGGGACCUGGACGCAACGAGCCUCCGCGCACGCGUCCGGGCGUUCCUCCGGCCCCGCCCCCCAAACCC